GCAAAGUUUAGGAAGUGCAUAUAUAAGUCAUGGACUGAAGAGCAUUUUGAACACAGAUGGUGGAAGUUGAUCGAAAAGUUCAGUCUUAGAGAAGAUGAGUGGGUCCAAUCAUUGUAUGAAGAUCGCAAGCUUUGGGUGCCUAUUUUUAUGAGGGGUGUGUCAUUUGCCAACUUAUCUAUGGCUUCAAGAUCCGAAAGCGUAAACUCUUUCUUUG
rnacentral:misc_RNA from 1 species